UACGAAGGGGACUAGCGUUGUUCGGAAUUACUGGGCGUAAAGCGCACGUAGGCGGAUUUGUAAGUCAGGGGUGAAAUCCCGGGGCUCAACCUCGGAACUGCCUUUGAUACUGCAAGUCUCGAGUCCGAUAGAGGUGGGUGGAAUUCCUAGUGUAGAGGUGAAAUUCGUAGAUAUUAGGAAGAACACCGGUGGCGAAGGCGGCCCACUGGACCGGUAUUGACGCUGAGACACGAAAGCGUGGGUAGCAAACAGG
rnacentral:rRNA from 1 species